rnacentral:rRNA from 1 species
UACGAAGGGGGCUAGCGUUGCUCGGAAUCACUGGGCGUAAAGCGCACGUAGGCGGCUUUUUAAGUCAGGGGUGAAAUCCUGGAGCUUAACUCCAGAACUGCCUUUGAUACUGGUGAGCUUGAGUCCGGAAGAGGUGAGUGGAACUGCGAGUGUAGAGGUGAAAUUCGUAGAUAUUCGCAAGAACACCAGUGGCGAAGGCGGCUCACUGGUCCGGUACUGACGCUGAGGUGCGAAAGCGUGGGGAGCAAACAGG